rnacentral:rRNA from 1 species
CAGCAGCCGCGGUAAUACGUAGGGUGCAAGCGUUAAUCGGAAUUACUGGGCGUAAAGCGUGCGCAGGCGGUUAUAUAAGACAGAUGUGAAAUCCCCGGGCUCAACCUGGGAACUGAAUUUGUGACUGUAUAGCUAGAGUACGGCAGAGGGGGAUGGAAUUCCGCGUGUAGCAGUGAAAUGCGUAGAUAUGCGGAGGAACACCGAUGGCGAAGGCAAUCCCCUGGGCCUGUACUGACGCUCAUGCACGAAAGCGUGGGGAGCAAACAGGAUUAGAUACCCGAGUAGUCCCUGUCUCUUAUAC